UUCUGUGAUGCCCCUUAGAUGUUCUGGGCCGCACGCGCGCUACACUGACAGGGCCAGCGAGUACAUCACCUUAACCGAGAGGUUUGGGUAAUCUUGUUAAACCCUGUCGUGCUGGGGAUAGAGCAUUGCAAUUAUUGCUCUUCAACGAGGAAUGCCUAGUAGGCACGAGUCAUCAGCUCGUGCCGAUUACGUCCCUGCCCUUUGUACACACCGCA
rnacentral:rRNA from 1 species